GGUUAAGCGACUAAGCGUACACGGUGGAUGCCCUGGCAGUCAGAGGCGAUGAAGGACGUGCUAAUCUGCGAUAAGCGUCGGUAAGGUGAUAUGAACCGUUAUAACCGGCGAUUUCCGAAUGGGGAAACCCAGUGUGUUUCGACACACUAUCAUUAACUGAAUCCAUAGGUUAAUGAGGCGAACCGGGGGAACUGAAACAUCUAAGUACCCCGAGGAAAAGAAAUCAACCGAGAUUCCCCCAGUAGCGGCGAGCGAACGGGGAGCAGCCCAGAGCCUGAAUCAGUAUGUGUGUUAGUGGAAGCGUCUGGAAAGGCGCGCGAUACAGGGUGACAGCCCCGUACACAAAAAUGCACAUGCUGUGAGCUCGAUGAGUAGGGCGGGACACGUGGUAUCCUGUCUGAAUAUGGGGGACCAUCCUCCAAGGCUAAAUACUCCUGACUGACCGAUAGUGAACCAGUACCGUGAGGGAAAGGCGAAAAGAACCCCGGCGAGGGGAGUGAAAAAGAACCUGAAACCGUGUACGUACAAGCAGUGGGAGCACGCUUAGGCGUGUGACUGCGUACCUUUUGUAUAAUGGGUCAGCGACUUAUAUUCUGUAGCAAGGUUAACCGAAUAGGGGAGCCGAAGGGAAACCGAGUCUUAACUGGGCGUUAAGUUGCAGGGUAUAGACCCGAAACCCGGUGAUCUAGCCAUGGGCAGGUUGAAGGUUGGGUAACACUAACUGGAGGACCGAACCGACUAAUGUUGAAAAAUUAGCGGAUGACUUGUGGCUGGGGGUGAAAGGCCAAUCAAACCGGGAGAUAGCUGGUUCUCCCCGAAAGCUAUUUAGGUAGCGCCUCGUGAAUUCAUCUCCGGGGGUAGAGCACUGUUUCGGCAAGGGGGUCAUCCCGACUUACCAACCCGAUGCAAACUGCGAAUACCGGAGAAUGUUAUCACGGGAGACACACGGCGGGUGCUAACGUCCGUCGUGAAGAGGGAAACAACCCAGACCGCCAGCUAAGGUCCCAAAGUCAUGGUUAAGUGGGAAACGAUGUGGGAAGGCCCAGACAGCCAGGAUGUUGGCUUAGAAGCAGCCAUCAUUUAAAGAAAGCGUAAUAGCUCACUGGUCGAGUCGGCCUGCGCGGAAGAUGUAACGGGGCUAAACCAUGCACCGAAGCUGCGGCAGCGACGCUGAUGCGUUGUUGGGUAGGGGAGCGUUCUGUAAGCCUGCGAAGGUGUGCUGUGAGGCAUGCUGGAGGUAUCAGAAGUGCGAAUGCUGACAUAAGUAACGAUAAAGCGGGUGAAAAGCCCGCUCGCCGGAAGACCAAGGGUUCCUGUCCAACGUUAAUCGGGGCAGGGUGAGUCGACCUCUAAGGCGAGGCCGAAAGGCGUAGUCGAUGGGAAACAGGUUAAUAUUCCUGUACUUGGUGUUACUGCGAAGGGGGACGGAGAAGGCUAUGUUGGCCGGGCGACGGUUGUCCCGGUUUAAGCGUGUAGGCUGGUUUUCCAGGCAAAUCCGGAAAAUCAAGGCUGAGGCGUGAUGACGAGGCACUACGGUGCUGAAGCAACAAAUGCCCUGCUUCCAGGAAAAGCCUCUAAGCAUCAGGUAACAUCAAAUCGUACCCCAAACCGACACAGGUGGUCAGGUAGAGAAUACCAAGGCGCUUGAGAGAACUCGGGUGAAGGAACUAGGCAAAAUGGUGCCGUAACUUCGGGAGAAGGCACGCUGAUAUGUAGGUGAAGUCCCUUGCGGAUGGAGCUGAAAUCAGUCGAAGAUACCAGCUGGCUGCAACUGUUUAUUAAAAACACAGCACUGUGCAAACACGAAAGUGGACGUAUACGGUGUGACGCCUGCCCGGUGCCGGAAGGUUAAUUGAUGGGGUCAGCGCAAGCGAAGCUCUUGAUCGAAGCCCCGGUAAACGGCGGCCGUAACUAUAACGGUCCUAAGGUAGCGAAAUUCCUUGUCGGGUAAGUUCCGACCUGCACGAAUGGCGUAAUGAUGGCCAGGCUGUCUCCACCCGAGACUCAGUGAAAUUGAACUCGCUGUGAAGAUGCAGUGUACCCGCGGCAAGACGGAAAGACCCCGUGAACCUUUACUAUAGCUUGACACUGAACAUUGAGCCUUGAUGUGUAGGAUAGGUGGGAGGCUUAGAAGUGUGGACGCCAGUCUGCAUGGAGCCGACCUUGAAAUACCACCCUUUAAUGUUUGAUGUUCUAACGUUGACCCGUAAUCCGGGUUGCGGACAGUGUCUGGUGGGUAGUUUGACUGGGGCGGUCUCCUCCUAAAGAGUAACGGAGGAGCACGAAGGUUGGCUAAUCCUGGUCGGACAUCAGGAGGUUAGUGCAAUGGCAUAAGCCAGCUUGACUGCGAGCGUGACGGCGCGAGCAGGUGCGAAAGCAGGUCAUAGUGAUCCGGUGGUUCUGAAUGGAAGGGCCAUCGCUCAACGGAUAAAAGGUACUCCGGGGAUAACAGGCUGAUACCGCCCAAGAGUUCAUAUCGACGGCGGUGUUUGGCACCUCGAUGUCGGCUCAUCACAUCCUGGGGCUGAAGUAGGUCCCAAGGGUAUGGCUGUUCGCCAUUUAAAGUGGUACGCGAGCUGGGUUUAGAACGUCGUGAGACAGUUCGGUCCCUAUCUGCCGUGGGCGCUGGAGAACUGAGGGGGGCUGCUCCUAGUACGAGAGGACCGGAGUGGACGCAUCACUGGUGUUCGGGUUGUCAUGCCAAUGGCACUGCCCGGUAGCUAAAUGCGGAAGAGAUAAGUGCUGAAAGCAUCUAAGCACGAAACUUGCCCCGAGAUGAGUUCUCCCUGACUCCUUGAGAGUCCUGAAGGAACGUUGAAGACGACGACGUUGAUAGGCCGGGUGUGUAAGCGCAGCGAUGCGUUGAGCUAACCGGUACUAAUGAACCGUGAGGCUUAACCUU
rnacentral:rRNA from 1 species